GAUGAACGCUAGCGGCAGGCUUAAUACAUGCAAGUCGUGGGGCAGCAGGGGUAGCAAUACCCGCUGGCGACCGGCAAACGGGUGCGGAACACGUACGCAACCUUCCUUUAACUGGAGGAUAGCCCCUCGAAAGAGGGAUUAAUACUCCGUAACAUAUUGAUAAGGCAUCUUAUUAAUAUUAUAGCUCCGGCGGUUAAAGAUGGGCGUGCGCCUGAUUAGAUAGUUGGCAGGGAACGCCUACCAAGUCUGCGAUCAGUAACUGGUGUGAGAGCACGACCAGUCACACGGGCACUGAGACACGGGCCCGACUCCUACGGGAGCAGCAGUAAGGAAUAUUGGUCAAUGGACGCAAGUCUGAACCAGCCAUGCCGCGUGGAGGAUUAA
rnacentral:rRNA from 1 species